UACGUAUGGAGCAAGCGUUAUCCGGAUUUACUGGGUGUAAAGGGAGUGUAGGUGGCCAGGCAAGUCAGAAGUGAAAGCUCGGGGCUCAACCCCGGGACUGCUUUUGAAACUGCAGGGCUAGAGUGCAGGAGGGGCAAGUGGAAUUCCUAGUGUAGCGGUGAAAUGCGUAGAUAUUAGGAGGAACACCAGUGGCGAAGGCGGCUUGCUGGACUGUAACUGACACUGAGGCUCGAAAGCGUGGGGAGCAAACAGG
rnacentral:rRNA from 1 species